GUCCGGUCGAUCCACUGGCUGCUCCCCACCGGGGUCCUCCAGAGAUGGUGUUGAUGAUCUCGAUUGGAGGCCGAUCUUUAGGCUGUUCUUCCCUCCUUGAUGGCUCUGGUGGUGGUAGGGCCCUCGACCGAUCUUUCCUACCUUCAGACCGGUGUCAGAUGAAUCUGUUGAGCUGACCUCGUCUGAUGAGCUCCUCGAUCUCAUCUCGAAGCUGAAUAUACUUCUCCGUGUCAUGGUCGUGAUCGUGAUGAUAGAGGCAGAACUUGUUAGGGUUGCACUUUUCAGGGUGUGUGUGCAUCCUUUCCAAAAUUGACAGCUACUCCCUGAUCUCCAUCAGCACUUGAAUUUUUGGAGCAUUGAGAGGGGCAUAGCUGUGGAAUCUUCCUGGG
rnacentral:lncRNA from 1 species